CCCCAUGUUCCCCCUGCUUGCAUUCUUCCUACCCCAAUGGCGCAGGCGGGAGUGACGCCUCAGGAUGGCAUAGAAGCAGCAGAAGAAAUGUAAUGAAGAGGUGAUCCAGGCUCCUGGAUUAAUGACAUAAGACUAGAGGAGAAACAGAGGAGCAAAAGAGGGUGGUGUUGAAGCAUCGACAUGUUCAUCAGGAGAAGGUGGCGAUUUAGCAGUUCCCAGAUGGGACGGAUUCCACAAAUGCUGAGCUGCAAUUAGCGAGUCAUUAAAGCGUUUGUCCGGUGGUGAAUGGGCGAGAGCUAUCAAGUCGCUAAGUUGUUGAUGGGUGAUUGUUGACGCGUUGGUAUCAUUUGGAGGACCAGUAAUCCUUGAGCUGGCCUGGGGGUGGUAAGGAGCAUUAACCUUAUGCUUUUAAAAGGAUUAGAUUCCAUAGAAGAAAUGUACCACACACACAAACUAUAAUUAGCCUGAUGUGGAGCGCAAGAAUUGGUAAGUUUCCUAAAAAGAAAAAGAAAAUCUAUCCAAGAAAAGAUAACCUUGUUGAAAACAAACAAAAAUGAAAGGUAAGGCUCCACAGUGGGAGGAUUUGAGUAGAAGUCUGAGGACCAGACUAUCAUUUCGGUUCAAAGCAAAAAGAACUUUUUUGUGUGUGUGUGACAAUCACCUUGAGCCCCCAAAAAGGCAGAGAAUGAAUUUAGAAAUUUUACCUAUCACCCCUCAGUCAUUGGGUCAGAUACAGCAUUCCUAUUCAGAAAGUUCAUCAUUUAAAUUCACUUUAGGUAAUGAGGAGGAAAAUGCAUUUGUUCAAGGCCUGGAAGAAAUGGAGCUAAAGACAAAUCAAAAGUUUAAUAAAGCUUUGAGUCAUGUCCCUUCAUACAAUUUUCUGAACUCACUCCAGCCACUGGCACUCUGUAAAUGCUUCUUUACUCUGGUGAUGUCUGGAAUACCUAAUAAAGACAGACCUUACUAGACAAACAUUUGGAAAGCUAGUC